rnacentral:lncRNA from 10 species
GACAGAGGAUCUCAGCCUUUGAAGUACGUGAGAGUUUAUCAAAAAGCAAGAUGCUCAACUCCACUCCUGGAAACUGGUCCAAUGGGUCAGGGGGUGACCUAGGAGUCUGCAUUUGGACAAUCACCUCAAGGGAUUCUGGGAGGGGAUCUGCAGGUCAACAUUUCAGAAACAUUGCCUUUGGGUCACAGUAAAGACCAUGAAAAUAACUUGAGGGGACACCUGGAAGAGCGCGGACCACAUUUCUGGAGUAGAGAGGUGCAAUGUCUUGCCCAUAUUCACCCGAAUCUAGCAGUAGAGCUGAUCCCAGCCCAGGUGUGACAAUUUGCAGAUAUGCGGAUGACGGACAGCUCCCAGGUCCAGGCCAGGCACUGCAGAACGUUCUAUUCCUGCUGCUCACCUUCCCCCGCCCGCCCGCAAGCUCCACCUGGAGGACCUGGGUGGGGUGGAGCACAGGUUUGCUGAGAAAUCUGGCUGAGAGAUCUGACCGUUAAAUGGGUUUCAUCCUGAAAUGACUUUGAGUGAAAACUGAAAGUAAAACUUGAAACCACCCACUUCCCGCUGCUUCCUUCCCUCGAGCGCUGAGUGCAGCUAAGCCACUCCUGUCUUGUAGGGCUUGCUCCUGCCUCGCCCUUCCCAGACCAAGCCCUGAACCCCACUGACGGUCGUGCCUGAGCCCCACCCUUGGCACCACCUCAAGGACUCUGUUCCUCCCCUCCCACUGCCCAGGCGGAAGUCAAAACCGUGCGUACUGCAGAGGAGGCACAUCCUUCGAGAACAGCGAACACCCCAGCCUUCUUAUCAACCCUGACUCCUAUUCAUAUCCUCACCCUAUUUAUUAAAUAAGAACCAGUUCUUUCAUUUAAAAAAUGGAUCAAAGACGGCUGGGC